rnacentral:rRNA from 1 species
GACGAACGCUGGCGGCGUGCUUAACACAUGCCAGUCGAACGGUGAAGCGCCUUCCUUUUUGGUGGGUGUGGAUGAGUGGCGAACGGGUGAGUAACACGUGAGUAACCUGCCCCCUUCUUCUGGAUAACCGCAUGAAAGUGUGGCUAAUACGGGAUAUUCUGGGUCUGUCGCAUGAUGGGUCUGGGAAAGAUAUUGUUUCGGUGGGGGAUGGGCUCGCGGCCUAUCAGCUUAUUGGUGGGGUGAUGGCCUACCAAGGCGGUGACGGGUAGCCGGCCUGAGAGGGUGGACGGUCACACUGGGACUGAGACACGGCCCAGACUCCUACGGGAGGCAGCAGUGGGGAAUAUUGCACAAUGGGCGCAAGCCUGAUGCAGCGACGCCGCGUGAGGGAUGGAGGCCUUCGGGUUGUGAACCUCUUUCGCCAGUGAAGCAGGCCUGCCUCGUUUGUGGGUGGGUUGACGGUAGCUGGAUAAGAAGCGCCGGCUAACUACGUG